UGGGGAAUAUUGCGCAAUGGGCGAAAGCCUGACGCAGCAACGCCGCGUGUGUGAUGAAGGCCUUCGGGUUGUAAAGCACUGUCAGCAGGGAAGAAGGUGCUGAAGAGUAACUACUUCAGUACUGACGGUACCUGCGAAGGAAGCACCGGCUAACUCCGUGCCAGCAGCCGCGGUAAUACGGAGGGUGCAAGCGUUGUUCGGAAUCAUUGGGCGUAAAGGGCGCGUAGGCGGCUCGUCAAGUCAGGUGUGAAAGCCCGCGGCUCAACUGCGGAACUGCGCCUGAUACUGGCAGGCUCGAGUACGGGAGAGGGUAGCGGAAUUCCGAGUGUAGAGGUGAAAUUCGUAGAUAUUCGGAGGAACACCAGUGGCGAAGGCGGCUACCUGGACCGAUACUGACGCUGAGGCGCGAAAGCGUGGGGAGCAAACAGG
rnacentral:rRNA from 1 species